rnacentral:rRNA from 1 species
CUACGGGGCGCAGCAGUGGGGAAUAUUGCACAAUGGAGGAAACUCUGAUGCAGCAACGCCGCGUGGAGGAUGACACUUUUCGGAGCGUAAACUCCUUUUAUAUAGGAAGAAGAUGACGGUACUAUAUGAAUAAGCGCCGGCUAACUCCGUGCCAGCAGCCGCGGUAAUACGGAGGGCGCAAGCGUUACUCGGAAUCACUGGGCGUAAAGAGCGUGUAGGCGGAUUAAAAAGUCAGAAGUGAAAUCCUAUAGCUUAACUAUAGAACUGCUUCUGAAACUCUUAAUCUAGAAUAUGGGAGAGGUAGAUGGAAUUUCUGGUGUAGGGGUAAAAUCCGUAGAGAUCAGAAGGAAUACCGAUUGCGAAGGCGGCCUACUAGAACAUUAUUGACGCUGAGACGCGAAAGCGUGGGGAGCAGACAGGAUUAGAUACCCCAGUAGUC